AUGCUCUAUCCAUUGAGCCAAACCAGCUAGGGCAGGUUAUUGUUCUUUUUAAAAGGACAUAAUCCCUGUAAAAUUUAAAUGUACUCUCCUAAUUCAGUCCAAUAUUCUUAGUGACUUGUUUAUAGUUUUAAGUGUGUUAAGAAAAUAAAAUGUCCUCCAAAGAUCUUAUAUUGCUGUGCUUUUUAAAAGACCAGAAAAAUUCUGGCCACUAUCAGUAUGUGUUU